ACCUGUGUGGUACGUCAACGUCAUUUGUCGACGUCACUGACGCGCCGCAAACACUUUACUGUGGCUGCUUCCUGCAUCAGGUGUGGACAUUAGAGAGGUGAGAACGCUUGGUGACUUUGAGAUCGUUGUUUUAAAUUUAGUAAUUAAUGUUCCCGGGUUGCGUGUGUUUUCUUUGCACCUUAGUAAGAUCUUGAUUGCCAUUUCCUCUCGUAAAGUGCGAGUCAGCUGUUCCGUUUUCAUGCGGACGCACUGUUGCGGUGACUACCGUUGUUGGGUGUGUGCGCUCCGAUUAUGCACGCAUCAUUCAUCUUCGGGCUCUCCCUAAAACGUUGAAGAGCGUAAGCUGAUUGUCAUUGCCAUCCCUCUCGUGUGAUUCAAAUCAACGGAUUCGUUUCUCCUGUAGAUCUGGCGCUGCUGGGGCUGCUAGUUGGGCGCGUUUCACGUCCUGCCCAUGGAUAACAUUGCUGUUUUGUUUGGUUUUGUUUUGUGCUGAUUUUGAUUUACAUUUUCUAUUUUCUUUUGGUUAAGUCAGCUUUAUUUACGUUUGAAAAUACGUGAAACUUGUUUUUUUUGCCUUUGCAUAUCCUGAUUUAUUUUUGCUUUCUAUUUUGUAAGAACUUUAUCUUUUUCUUUCUGGGGGUUGUUUUGCAGUGUAUUUACUUUGUGUGGUUUAUUUGAUUUAUCUUAUUAAUUGCAGCUUCAUUAUUCUUUUGUAUUUUUUUUGUUCAUUUUCCUGCUUAGUUAAUUAGAGUAACCUGAUUUAGAUCAGUUUGGUUUAUUUUUCUGUACCCCGUUAAACCCAAGUUGCUGUAUUCCUCUGUUUACUGUUGGGAUCAAUUUGGUUUAUUUUUCCAUAUACUAAGACCUUAUUGUUUUGUUUUUUUUGCAUUUCUUUAACUCUUUUUUUUUGGUUGAUUUAUUUGUUUAAUUCAUGAUUUGUAUUGUGUGGGAAUAAGAGGCCCUGUAUAUUUCUUUCUUUUCGUUAAUGCUCAUUUUUGUAUUUUUUGUUGUUAACUACAUCCAAAUCAAGCAAUUUCAGUGUUUUAAUAAUUUGGUGUGCCUGUGAGUGACUCACAUUAAGAUUGGUUUUGUUCUUGUGCCGCAGGAUCUGGGGCCAAAGGCAGGGGGGGCCGACUCUAUUCCCUCAAAGUGGUGGUGGUGUGUUCACAGUGUGCCGUGUCCAUCCGUGGAGUAAGGUGUGAGUGCGUGUGUUUGUGUGCACUGGUGCAAGGAAUGGUUUUCUGUUAUAAACAGUCUAAUCCCCGAUAGCCCGACCCUGCUGGUAAGCCCCAGUUAGCUGGUGUUUCUGUGGCCCUUUUCAGAGCCGAAUCCUUUUGCUGAGUGAUGUUUGACUGAUGCCUGAUUUAUUUUAAU